rnacentral:lncRNA from 10 species
AAUAUCACCAGUGGGAAUCUACUGUGGAAAAUUGAGUACAACACUAUCAUCAUAUGAUUUGUUUUGCUCAUAUUUGGCUGUGCCAUUGGCUGCGGAGCCAGGCAGCGAACUCCACACAAUGAGGAGCCUGUGAAAACGCAGAGAAGGCAAGAAAGGAUGCAAACAUUUAGGCAGCAUCUGAUGGUAGCUGGCUUGUGGUUUACCUGGCCUUUGGUUAGAUAACUGUGCCUGAUCCCUAUGGCCAGGAAGGAAGGAGCUGAAGAAUUCACAUUUGGGCUGAUGGGCCUGGGGUAGGGAUGACCAACAGACCACAUGCUUCUUGUCUCUUCUACUCCCUGAUCCUCUGAUAGACAGGGCUAAGUGAUCAUCCACUCCUUCCACCCUCCAGCCUCCGAGUGGGCCACUUUUCAAGCAUGGAAUUC